AAUGGAUAGAACUAGAAAAGAUCAUAUUGAGUGAGGUAACCCAGACCCCAAAUGAUGAACAUCACAUGUUUCUCACAUCCGAGGCGCCUAGCUCCAAAUCUUCAGAGCAACUGCAGAAACCAGGAAAACAAGAUGGGACCAUUUUCAUGGGCAGUCAGAUUCCCAGAGUAAAGAUGUGAUGGCUGAAGAUGGAUGAAGUCCAGUAAGAAUCAUGACAUCCAUGUUUGGUGGUACCUCACAGUUAUUUGGAGCAGAUGCUAUCUGACUUGUGAUCUACGAAGAUAAAUUGGAUUACAGAUGGAAGGGAGACAUUGUAGGGGACAGACAAAAGAGCCGUCAGAGUCCAUUGUUGCGGUAGUGGAUCAGCGUUUUGGACCAAAGUGGGGUCCCUGAUUUCUAGAUGCCGAAAUAGAACUAGGUUGCAAAAUACCAGGACUCCCCUGUGAAGGAAAGGAGGCAGGAAGCAGAACUGAGCAAAGGAAAGAUGAAUAAUGGAUUUGGAGUUUUAAACAACUAGUUGCUCAGAAUGGAAGACUCUUCAAUACUGCUUAAAAAAAACAAGAACAGUGGCAUGGUAUUUUGGUUUAUAGCCUGAGGCACUGAACAGCUGGGCCAGAGGCACAGCUCCUGGAAUGAGGUAAAGUGUAGGAAGCAGAGAGAGGAAGGCUGGGCUGCUGAGGAUAAUUUGAAAUCACAGAAGAGAAGAAGACAUGCCUGGAGCUCACACCUCUUCACAGGCAGAGGCCCGCGUGAACUCAGGCUUCAGACACGGAGACUCGGAGACUCGCACAGCUAGCGUCCUUUCCCUCCAUGUCCGACUGCUGAACUGGCUUUCCCAACCACUCCAGAUUCAUCUGCAUUGUUCUUGUGCCCAUUAAAGAGCAUCUUCAGAGUGUUUGGUGUUCCAACAUUAAUUUCCUCUGUUUUCAUUAGCAUUGGAUGAUAAGGUGGUACAUUGGCCAUCUGUUACUUUAACAAAUUCCUGAAGUAAAUCAACUAAUAAAGAGCAAAGUUUCAUUUUC